UGCGGUUUACGCGGCUUUCGAUAGACCUAUCAUAUGUAUUAUUUUUUGUAUCGUACUGUUGGGUUUUAUCUACCGCAUUGAUAAUAUCUAUUGGCGUGCCAUGUCUUGGAGUGGUUGGCAGAUAUUAGGCCGCAUGUCACUUUGCAUUCUUAUGAUACACUGGACUUUCAACCUUAUGCAAAUCGCAUUGCAGACUAAUGUCAAAGAGGUAUCUGUUUUGCAACAUAUAGGUCACUGGCUCGUGACAGUUCUAAUGACGUAUUUGACGUCUAUACCGCUCCAUUUGCUGGUCGAGAUUCCGGUACAAAAAUUUCUACGAGCUGCUCUAUGCAUAUAGAAACGUAAAG